GGGAAGUUGGCUCAGCGGUAGAGCACUUGCCUUGCAUGCAUGAGGCCCUGGGUUCGAUUCCUCAGAACCA
rfam:Dipodomys ordii contig_71614, whole genome shotgun sequence.